rnacentral:rRNA from 1 species
UACAGAGGUGCAACGUUGUCGUGAUUCGGUGCGUAAGGGCGCGUAGGCGGCGUAACAAGUCACUUGUGAAAUCUCCGGGCUUAACUCGGAGCGGUCAAGUGAUACUGUUGUGCUAGAGUGCGGAAGGGGCUACUGGAAUUCUCGGUGUAGCGGUGAAAUGCGUAGAUAUCGAGAGGAACACCUGCGGCGAAGGCGGGUAGCUGGGCCGACACUGACGCUGAAGCGCGAAAGCGUGGGGAGCAAACAGG